UACGAAGGGGGCUAGCGUUGCUCGGAAUCACUGGGCGUAAAGCGCACGUAGGCGGAUCUUUAAGUCAGGGGUGAAAUCCUGGAGCUCAACUCCAGAACUGCCUUUGAUACUGGGUGUCUUGAGUAUGGAAGAGGUGAGUGGAAUUCCGAGUGUAGAGGUGAAAUGCGUAGAUAUUCGGAAGAACACCAGUGGCGAAGGCGGCUCACUGGCCCGGUACUGACGCUGAGGUGCGAAAGCGUGGGGAGCAACAGG
rnacentral:rRNA from 1 species